rnacentral:lncRNA from 1 species
CUAUUGGUAAAGAGAUAAAGAGAGUUCUAAGUCAAAAAUGAAGAGAUGCAGAGAAGUAUUUCAGGGCGGAGAGAAGGUUAAAGAUGGUCAAGCUAAACAGAGCCAGGCUUACAUUAUGCCCCACCUUAAAACGGAUGUGAUAUGGAGAAGCCUCAGGUGAGUGUAUUAGGUUUUUGCUAUGCAGCAAAUUACUCCCCACUCCGUGGCAUAAAACUAUACCCAUUUCUUAUCUCACAGUUUCUGUGGGGGAGAAGUCAGGGUACAGAAUAGCCGGGUUCUCUGCUCAGGGUCUCUUGCAAAGAUGAAAUCAAGGUCCUGGCAGGGCUGUGUUCUCAUCUGGGGCCCAGGGUUCUCUUCCACAUUCGUUCAGGUUAUUGACAGAAUGCAGCUCCUUAUCACUGUAGGACUGAGCCCGGUGUUCUUGCUGGCUAUGGCAGGGGUGGCUCUUUGUUCCUAAGGCUGCCCUCAGGUCCAAUCUACAUGGCUCCCUCCAUAGGCAAUUCACAGCAUGGCUGUUCGUUUUCUACCAGACCAGCAGAAGAAUGUCUGUGGCUGCUUCUUGUUUCUUUUCAUUUCUCAGCUGAUUAGGUCAGGUCUAUCCAAGAUAAUCUCCCUUUUGAUUAACUCAAAGUUAACUGAUUAGAAACCUUAGUUAUACCUGCAAAAUCCUUUGUGCCCAUAUAAGGCAACCUUCACAGGAAUAGAGGCCAUCAUAUUCACAGGUCCUGCCUGCACCCAAGGGUGUACACCAGGGAGCAGAAUUUUUGGGGGACAUCUUAGAAUUCAGCCUGCCACAACAAGAUAAAUCAAAACAAGAAAAAGUAUUUUAUUGUGGGACUUAGGGUCACUUGGUUUUUUAAACAGGAAUGCAGGAAACUCAGUGCAUGCUGUUGUAAAUAUUCUGGUGAUAACAAUUAUGAACUUUGAACAGCAGAAUGAAAAUCUCCAGGAAGCAUAUCACUGGGCCAUCCCCUUGGUUAAAGUCUUAGGUUAGGGAGCAGUAGAGGAAGGGGAGUGUGGCAGGGUUUGAGUGAGGAUAGCAUUCCAAUCUUUCUGCUGGGGCCUGGUGAGCUCAUUAUCUAAGACUACCAGUCAAGUCUUCAGAUUAAAGAUGACUGGCAAUGCCCAGGAGAAAGUCUUGAGGGAGUGGGCUCUUAGCAGACAAUAGUCAGGAUGGUGUGUGGUUUCUGGAGCCUUGCAGAAGAGGAGUGCAUGCAGAGUGAGGGGGUAGGGUGAUGGGAAGAUGUGGGAAAAUGUUAGUUUAACCUUUGGUACCCAAGACAGGGUGCCCACCUUUAACCUCCACACUCUCUCUUAAAGGACAGACACUCAAGAUGUUGUAUUUGAAAAGGCAACUGAUAGAGGAGUCAGCUUCAUCCCAGACCUGCUCCCCUCUUGCCUGCCAGAGAGUCUGAUGGGUAGACAAAUGAAGUACCCUUGAGGAAGCUCCAGGAGUGCCAAUAACCAUCUUACACAGGACUACCAUUUAUCUAACAAAUCUCAGGCUGCUAAGUGCCCCAUCGUCACAAACUUCGACAUUCCUUCAGGGGUCAAAAUCAAGGGAGAGGGGAAGCAGGGCAUUCGUAAGGCCCUUCCUAUUCUGAAAAGAUGCCCUCCUCAGCCAGACUCCAGAGGGGGAGGGGAGCAGGAAUCCUCGUAAUCAUGAGGACCGAUCAGAUAAAUCCAGAUGGAGAGGCUCCCUUAAGCACAUGAGGCCCAGCCUCUGAAACUCCUGGUGGUCACUGUCCUGUGUUGUGGGUUUAGCCCCUUAAACACAUGUUCGAAAAGCUGAUGGACAGACUUCCAUUUGCAACUACUAUAUGCCAUCGGCAUCAGGCUAAGGUCUCGGUGGAACCAAAAAGAAACAAGAUUCUGAAACCCCGGAGUCUGCAGGAACUUAAACCACCCACACCUGGGAAACUACAAAGCAGUGGGGCAGUGGCGAUCCUGCUGGGUUGUGUGGCUGCGCUAAUGAUCGGCAGGUGGCUAGGCUUGCUCGUUAGUGAUAAGGAGCCCCCUCCUUGUAGGGCUCAAGACUUAAAAAAUGCUUCAGUAGAGGGGCAGCUUGCACAGCUCAUGACCUUCGGAGUUACUUAGGAAGAGUGCUACGUAACAGGUAAGCCUUGAGGGUCAGCGGUUUUCUCUGCAUGGAGGCCUGGGCUGAAAAAUUAGAAGGAAGCGGGGCCCAGCUCUACGACUGUCUCGAAGUUCUCCAUCUGCUAGGAACCAUUUGAAGAGACAUAUGCAGGCAUGGUUAUCUCUUUUCUAUAGGUAGGGAAGCUAAGGAAGACUUAGAGAAGUCAAUUGUUGGAGGCCACAUGAACAGUAAGCAGCAGAACUGGGAUUUGAACCAAGUCAGCAUAGGGUCAGCAUCCUCACGCCAGGGGCCAGGCUCUUCUGGCCUCCUGCCAUGCUGUGCUGCCUUAUACAACCUGACAGAGCACUUGCAGAAUCUGGCACUGUUUUUCAAGGCAGGUAAUCCUCACAAGUUGGGUAAAAACAUCUAGUGCAUAGAGGGCAGUAAAGGGGAUUGUGGGCUGUGUGGGUGUCAGUGAGGGCCCUAAGGGGGUGUCCUUUUCUCUCCGUUGCACACUGCCUGCAAGAUGACUGACUGAGGUAUUGCAGAAAUGCCACUCUCCUCUUCAGGGCUAUUGGUACUUGCAGUGCCAGAUGGCUGUCCUCAGGGUUCACUGCAGCUGAACAUAAAUAUAAACCCCACCAUUUCUAAGGGGGGGGCCUAUGAUGCCCAGGUGUGUGGUUCUGAAGCAAUUUUGCCUCAAGUAAAUCAGUAGGUCCAUAUUAGAAGACACGCGUUAAUUUAUUGCAGUGAGAUUUUAUGUCUUAGUCAGUCAUUAGCAGAAUUUCGUACCAGAAAUUCUUUCCUCUUUAAUCUUGGCGGGAUUGGUAUUACACAUAACUCGACUAUUAAGACAAGAAUAUCUUGCAGAUAGGGAGGUCGUUAAUCUAAAGGGUUUUUGCAGUGUGAAAUGCAAAUGCUCGGUGACAGGUAUGCCCAGAUCCCCCAAAGCCUGCUUAAUCUGCCAUAAAGGGAUCUAAGGAAAGGUUUGAUUGUUUUGUUAACACAAAUAAGAAGCCCUUCUGCAGCUCUGCUCUCUUUGCAGCUCCAAUUCUUUCACCAUUUGUUCAGAUAGACUUUCCAGCCCCUGGAGGGCCAGUUCAUCAACUCCUUCUUGUUUCCCUCUGUGUUCCCAAUGACAGACCUGGGAUUUGGGGUCUGCAUUCACAGAAGGUGAGGGUAAAGCAAAGAUGCUCUGUCGGCUGUCUGCUCUGCGGGCCCCUGUGACCAUCUCUUCUUCGUGUUCUGCUCCCUCUGGGGCAGCAUGCCUGGAUGUUUCCACACCCAGCUUCUGGGUUGACGGGCCUACUGGUCAGGUUUAGGAGACAGUGAUAUUGACGCGUGAGUCAUCCUUGAAAGAAGCUGGGAGUUAGGUGGCUCUGAUUCUGACCCAGCUCUGCCACAGAGUAGUUGUGUGACCUUGGCCAAGUCAUCCCUAUUUGCCUCAGUUUCCCAGAAUUGGAGUAAUGAUUGUUAAAGACCUUUCAGCUUUAAGUAGGAUCCUGUAAGCUCUGCUCCAUCCUCUGCAGAGGCCCUCAGUAAAGAAUCUCAAAAUUAGCUCACUUUAUUUAGUAUGACAUGCCUCCUAAUGUUUGUUACAAUGGCCCAGGGCGCUGGUGUUGGACAGCUUAGUUCAAAUCCUGGCUCUGAGUGACCUUGGGCAAAUAUUGUAACCUGUCCCUGCUUUAGUUCUCUCAUCUAAUAAUAGUACCAAUCUCUUAGAAAAAUGAUGAGAUUCAAAUCGGCCAAUGUGUAUAAACUACUCAACACAAUUCUUAGCAUAUAUGAAAUACUAAAUGUUAGCUGUUUUAUUAAUUUUAUUAUUCUAUAGAACUUGGAAGAACUGUGGGCUUAAAUUUCUACUACAACUAGCAAACC